AUGCUUCGUCGAUAUUCACAUUUUUACUCGAUUCGAUAUUCUUCCACAUUAUUAUCUACUUUAGACGGACUCACAAAUCGAACAAGUGGAGAUAAGUUACUCACUUAUAGCGAGAAGUUUUCCAAAUUAUAUGCCAAUUCCACGCCAGAAACUCGAAAAUCGAUUUUCGUAGAUCUCGUCACAAACUAUGGUGUAAACAAAGAAGCCCUAAAUCAUGCGAUUUCUCUAUAUUCUAAGUUCAGAAUGAUCAAAUGUACCCGGAAGUAAGAACAUCAGCAACAGCUUCUUAUGUGAAUUUGAUAAAAUCAAUUGGAAAUUUACCGGGAGGAGUUAUGCAAGUCUGUGAAAUGAGGGCUAAUAUUUUGGCACUUCUAAAACGGGAAACUGACAAAACUACAACAUCAUAUCUCCGUCACAUUGAACUGGCCACUAGAGAAGUAUUAACUUCAUGGUUUUCUUUAGGAAAUCUAAAAUUGGAACGACUUACGUGGUCAUCUCCUGGAGAUAUUCUACAGAAAGUCGCCGAAUAUGAGGCAGUUCAUCCAGUUAGAGGACUUUCAGAUUUCAGAAAACGUCUUGGUCCGUUGAGACGAUGUUUCUAUUUUUCCCACGAAGCUCUUCCCCGGAACCCACUUGUGAUGGUUCACGUGGCAUUAGUUGAUGAGAUAGCGGAUAGUGUACAAGAAAUCACAAAAAGAGGAGCACCGACUGGAAAAGAAGAAGAUCAAACAACUGCAAUUUAUUAUUCAAUCACUUCUACACAGCCUGGUCUUUCUGGUAUUGAUCUCGGAAAUAUGCUCAUCAAGAAAGUCGCCACUAAACUUCAAAAAGAUGUUCCAUCAGUCACAACUCAUUCAACAUUAUCUCCGAUUCCUGGUUUCCGACCUUGGCUUAUCAGAAAUCUGAAAGGGAAUUCAGAAUAUCCUUCAAUUAUGAAUGAAAAGGUUGUCAAUUGGAUUUCUGAUAUAUCUGAAAGGGAAAUGAACGAAGUAGAAGCAACCGAAACUCUACUGAAAGUCAUAAGCAAUGAAAAAACGAAAAAGGAGCAGCUCAAUGCAAUCCAGCACAUUUUGAUGUACGCGUGUGCUCAUUAUCUUUGUAAUGCAAAACGAAAUGGAAUGGCUUUAAAUUCAGUUGCAAACUUCCACAUUAGAAACGGCGCAGAGUUGUAUAGACUGAAUUGGAAUGGAGAUACGAGUCAUAGAGGGAUCAAUAACAGUUUUGGAAUUAUGGUAAACUACAGAUACGAUUUGGAGAAGGUUCACGAGAACAGUGCAGCUUACACUGAACACAAAAAGAUGGCGAUUAAUCAGAAAGUUUUGGAUAUCUUCUGA
rnacentral:misc_RNA from 1 species